rnacentral:rRNA from 1 species
UGGGGAAUAUUGGGCAAUGGGCGCAAGCCUGACCCAGCAACGCCGCGUGAGGGAAGAAGGUCUUCGGAUUGUAAACCUCUGUCCUUGGGGACGAAAAAAAUGACGGUACCCAAGGAGGAAGCUCCGGCUAACUACGUGCCAGCAGCCGCGGUAAUACGUAGGGAGCGAGCGUUGUCCGGAAUUACUGGGCGUAAAGGGUGCGUAGGCGGCAAUGCAAGUCAGAUGGGAAAUCCCCGGGCUUAACUCGGGGGGUGCAUUUGAAACUGCAUAGCUUGAGUGCAGGAGAGGAAAGCGGAAUUCCUAGUGUAGCGGUGAAAUGCGUAGAUAUUAGGAGGAACACCAGUGGCGAAGGCGGCUUUCUGGACUGUAACUGACGCUGAUGCACGAAAGCGUGGGGAGCAAACA